AUGAGGUUUUUCCAAGAAUUUCAUGAGCAUGGCAGUAACCUGCACGACAUCAACACUGCCAACAUUGUGCUGCUCCCGAAGAAAGAAAAUCCAAUGGAUAUCAAAGAUUUUAGACCCAUCUCCCUAGUCCACAGUAUACCAAAGUUAGCAACUAAAGUUCUAGUCGUCCGGCUACAACGGCUAAUCCCAAGCCUCAUCCACCCACUACAUCUGGUUUUCUGCCUAGACGCUGCAUAA
rnacentral:rRNA from 1 species